UACAGAGGGGGCAAGCGUUAUUCGGAAUUAUUGGGCGUAAAGGGCGCGUAGGCGGCAUGGCAAGUGGAAGGUGAAAUCCCUCGGCUCAACUGAGGAACUGCCCUCCAAACUGCUUUGCUUGAGUCCGGGAGAGGUGAGUGGAAUUCCCAGUGUAGCGGUGAAAUGCGUAGAUAUUGGGAGGAACACCAGUGGCGAAGGCGGCUCACUGGACCGGAACUGACGCUGAGGCGCGAAAGCGUGGGGAGCAAACAGG
rnacentral:rRNA from 1 species